rnacentral:misc_RNA from 1 species
AGCAGCCGCGGUAAUUCCAGCUCCAAUAGCGUAUAUUAAAGUUGUUGCAGUUAAAAGCUCGUAGUUGAAUUUCGGGAUCAAUUAAUUGGUCGUGCCUCUGGUACGUACUGGUUUUAUUGGUUUCUCCCUUCUGACGAACCAUGAUGUCAUUAAUCUGGUGUCGUGGAGAAUCAGGACUGUUACUUUGAAAAAAUUGGGUGUUUAAAGCAAGCUAACGCUUGAAUACAUUAGCAUGGAAUAAUGAAAUAGGACGUUUGAUCCUAUUUUGUUGGUUUCUAGGAUCGACGUAAUGAUUAAUAGGGAUAGUUGGGGGCAUUAGUAUUCAAUUGUCAGAGGUGAAAUUCUUGGAUUUAUUGAAGACUAACUACUGCGAAAGCAUUUGCCAAGGAUGUUUUCAUUAAUCAAGAACGAAAGUUAGGGAUCGAAGACGAUCAGAUACCGUCGUAGUCUUAACCAUAAACUAUGCCGACUAGGGAUCGGAUGAUGUUAAUUUUUUAAUGUACUCAUUCGGCGCCUUAAC